AAACUUUACACUGUGCGAAAGCACGAUAAGGGAACUCUGAGUGCCCCCUACGGGGGCUGUUCUAGUGUCUAAAAAGCAAUAGAAGUAAGGGCUGGGCAAGACCGGUGCCAGCCGCCGCGGUAACACCGGCAGCCCAAGUGGUAGCCACGUUUAUUGGGUCUAAAGCGUUCGUAGCCGGCUUGGUAAGUUCCUUGGUAAAUUUAGCCGCUUAACGGUUAAGCUUUCAGGGAAUACUGCUUGGCUUGGGACUGGGAGAGGUCAGAGGUACUCCAGGGGUAGGGGUGAAAUCCAUUAAUCCUUGGGGGACCACCGGUAGCGAAGGCGUCUGACCAGACCAGCUCCGACGGUGAGGGACGAAGGCUAGGGGCGCGAACCGGAUUAGAUACCCGGGUAGUCCUAGCUGUAAACGAUGCGGGCUAGGUGUUGGCAUUACUGCGAGUGGUGCCAGUGCCGAAGGGAAGCCGUUAAGCUCGCCAUCUGGGGAGUACGGACGCAAGGCUUAAACUUAA
rnacentral:rRNA from 1 species